rnacentral:misc_RNA from 1 species
CCAAACUUGGUCAUUUAGAGGAAGUAAAAGUCGUAACAAGGUCUCCGUUGGUGAACCAGCGGAGGGAUCAUUAGAGAGUCUACAGAACUCCCAAACCCCCUGUGAACAUACCCCACGUUGCCUCGGCGGCGGUGGCGGGGCCCCCGCCCUGCCUCCCCGCCGGCGGCCCACGAAACUCUGUUUUUUAGUGACUGGCACUUCUGAAGCGAGGAAAACGAAAUCAGUUAAAACUUUCAACAACGGAUCUCUUGGUUCUGGCAUCGAUGAAGAACGCAGC